AUUAAUUUUACUUUCCAUCUGCCUUUAUAUUUCUUCACACCUCGUAAGGUCCAUUCCCUGCGCUAGUGUUCGUAGCAAAAUAUUACUAAGGUAUUCCUUUCCAUCAUCCUGACUGCAAUCAUUGGAAAAAGGACCCAAGAUCCUCUGGGCCAAAGGAACGUCUCAGGCUCUUUCUCCCAACUUCUUGGGUCAGGGGUUCCAGUCCACCUUGGUGAAGGUUCUUGUGACAGCCGUGAAGUAAACCAAGCUGAUCCCAGGACUGAGGUUUCAUUGUUCAGACAAUUGCGCUGUAGUUACACCCUGUAACAAAACAUACGUAGCUUAACACUUAACAAUGCUCAGCCAGAACGAUUAACACCACUGGGCACACCAAGAAGACAAACAGCACACACAAACAAUACAUAACAAAACACACAGCACAGCAACACAUUGCAAAGGGAGAGAGACAGGUAUUACCUAGCGUAGCAUGCGGGAUCCUCGGCUGGACUGGGCCCACCUACGGAGCGAACCUCAAAGGGAAACUACUCAGAGGGAUUCGAACGUAAAGUUCCCUCAAAGGUAAACUACUGGGAGGGAUUCGAACGUUAAGUUCCCUAAAAGGUAAACUACUCGGAGGGAUUCGAACGUAAAGUUCCCUCAAAGGUAAAGUAUUCGGAGGGAUUCGAACGUAAAGUUCCCUAAAAGGUAAACUACUCGGAGGGAUUCAAACGUAAAGUUCCCUCAAAGGUAAAGUAUUCGGAGGGAUUCGAACGUAAAGUUCCCUCAAAGGUAAAGUAUUCGGAGGGAUUCGAACGUUAAGUUCCACGCCCACUGUUGCCACAAUCCAUAAAGUUAUUUCAACCCUUCAUGCUUUCUCUCAGCCAGAUCAGUUUCUUGUGAGUAAAAAGUAGCAGUAAUGGUGUACGUAUCAUGGGGAAUAUUUUUUGCUUGAUAUCCAUUAUAUUAUCUAGACUAGAGAAUUCAGUUUUCUGUUUCCAUUGCAGAAAACGUAUCAAGAAACUUAAGAAUAGCUGCUUUACAUUCUUUUGUAGACCUGCGUAAUUCUUCUGUUAUGAUUUGUCGUCAU